CAUCUCCACCACCAUCGGUUCACCACCCUUUGGUUGUUAAGGUGACCGGAAAAGUAUACUGUUACAGGUGCUAUGACUGGAGCUACCCAUUGAAGUCCCAUCACAAGAAACAUCUUACAGGUGCUGUUGUGGAGAUCACGUGCAAAGCAGGUGACAAAAAAAUAGUGGCGUACGGCAAAACAAAGAACAAUGGGAAAUACAGUAUUCCGGUUGAAGGAUUUGAGUAUAGUAAAUAUGGAGCAAAGGCAUGCAAAGCUAAACUUCAUGCUGCACCAAAGGGGUCAAAAUGCAAUAUCCCAACAGAUCUUCAUUCC